rnacentral:rRNA from 1 species
UACGAAGGGGGCUAGCGUUGCUCGGAAUUACUGGGCGUAAAGCGCACGUAGGCGGCUUGUUAAGUCAGGGGUGAAAUCCUGGAGCUCAACUCCAGAACUGCCUUUGAUACUGGCGAGCUUGAGUUCGGGAGAGGUGAGUGGAACUGCGAGUGUAGAGGUGAAAUUCGUAGAUAUUGGGAAGAACACCGGUGGCGAAGGCGGCCAACUGGACCACAACUGACGCUGAGGCGCGAAAGCGUGGGGAGCAAACAGG